CCAAUAGCGUAUAUUAAAGUUGUUGCAGUUAAAAAGCUCGUAGUUGAACUUCGGGAUUUGCCCAUUGGUCAGGCUUAACUGUCUGCACUGGUGUGACGAGUUCCUACCUUCUGAGGAAUCUCCAUGUCAUUCAGUUGGUGUGGGGGGAAAUCAGGACUGUUACUUUGAAAAAAUUAGAGUGUUUAAAGCAGGCGUCCGUCUGAAUACAUUAGCAUGGAAU
rnacentral:rRNA from 1 species